rnacentral:rRNA from 1 species
AUGCCGACGGCCCCCCGUUUCGGCCGUCGGCAUAGGUCUGACGCCGUUAGCCAGGGGGUGGCCGGGCCCCACGGGUAUGCCGACGGCCGUUGUAAGCCGACGGCAGCUGUCGGCGUAUAUGUAGCUAGGCCGACGUCCUUUCAAUGCCGACGGGUGCCGUCGGCUUAUCUCUGCGUAACCCGACGGCCUUUUUACGCCGACGGCCAGAACCAGGCUGUCGGCAUAUCUCCGAAGAAGCCGACGGUGGCCGUCGGUAUUGUUUUGGCCGUCGGGGUAUGGCCCUGUUCCGGUAGUGAAGCUCCUUAG